rnacentral:rRNA from 1 species
UUCCGGUUGAUCCUGCCGGACCCCACUGCUAUCGGGAUGGGACUAAGACAUGCUAGUCGAGCGUCUCCAAGCUAUGGAAGAGACGCGGCACACAGCUCAGUAACACGUGGCUAACCUGCCCUUGGGACAAGGACAACUCCGGGAAACUGGGGCUAAUCCCUGAUAGGUGAGAACUCCUGGAAUGGAUUCUCGCUGAAAGGACGUUUAGACCAUGCUUCUAGGCGUCGCCCAAGGAGGGGGCCGCGACCGAUCAGGUUGUUGGUGAGGUAACGGCUCACCAAGCCUUUAACCGGUACGGGCCGUGAGAGCGGAAGCCCGGAGAUGGGCACUGAGACAAGGGCCCAGGCCCUGCGGGGCGCAGCAGUCGCGAAAACUCCGCAAUACACGAAAGUGUGACGGGGCUAUCCCGAGUGCCAUCCGCUGAGGAUGGCUUUUCCCCAGUGUAUAAAGCUGGGGGAAUAAGGAGAGGGCAAGCCUGGUGUCAGCCGCCGCGGUAAUACCAGCUCUCCGAGUGGUGGGGAUGUUUAUUGGGCCUAAAGCAUUCGUAGCCUGCUUGGCAAGUCCUCCGUUAAAUCCAACGAUUCAAUCGUUGGGCUGCGGGGGAUACUGUCCAGCUAGGGGGCGGGAGAGGCCGACGGUAUCCCCGGGGUAGGGGUGAAAUCCUAUAAUCCCGGGAGGACCACCAGUGGCGAAGGCUGUCGGCUAGAACGUGCCCGACGGUGAGGGAUGAAAGCUGGGGGAGCGAACCGGAUUAGAUACCCGGGUAGUCCCAGCUGUAAACGAUGCAGCUAGGUGUUGGCGCGGCUACGUGCCGCUCCAGUGCCGCAGGGAAGCCGUUAAGCCUGCCGCCUGGGAAGUACGGCGCAGGCUGAACUUAAAGGAAUGGCGGGGAGCACACAGUGUGAGCUGCG